rnacentral:lncRNA from 1 species
CUUUGUUGUAGUUCUCACCCUACUAUUCCACAGAGCCCGGACCGAGCGAGCCGGCGAGCGACCGAGGUAAAGGUAUCGCGCCUUAAUCAGAGGCCACCAGAGUUGGGUCUACAUUUUGUAGUAAAGCACCUAUGAUCAUCUUGUGUACUUGAUGAUAAAAUGAUGUAAAGAAAAGAAUGUAAUGUGUAUUUUGACGUGAAUGUGAUGUAAGAAAGAAAUGAUGAAAUGAUGUAAUGAAAUUGUAAGGAAUUAUAAAAAUGUACAAGACGAAUGCAAUGUAUAUGAUAAAAAAUGAAUCAUAGUACAUAUGAAUGUU